rnacentral:rRNA from 1 species
CCUACGGGUGGCAGCAGUGAGGAAUAUUGGUCAAUGGACGCAAGUCUGAACCAGCCAUGCCGCGUGCAGGAAGACGGCUCUAUGAGUUGUAAACUGCUUUUGUACGAGGGUAAACGCAGAUACGCGUAUCUGUCUGAAAGUAUCGUACGAAUAAGGAUCGGCUAACUCCGUGCCAGCAGCCGCGGGAAUACGGAGGAUUUAAGCGUUAUCCGGAUUUAUUGGGAUUAAAGGGUGCGUAGGCGGUCGGAUAAGUUAGAGGUGAAAUACCGAGGCUCAACUUCGGAAUUGCCUCUGAUACUGUGCGGCUAGAGAGUAGGUGCGGUAGGCGGAAUGUAUGGUGUAGCGGUGAAAUGCUUAGAGAUCAUACAGAACACCGAUUGCGAAGGCAGCUUACCAAGCUACUUCUGACGUUGAGGCACGAAAGCGUGGGGAGCAAACAGGAUUAGAUACCCUGGUAGUC